CCUACGGGAGGCAGCAGUGAGGAAUAUUGGUCAAUGGACGAGAGCCUGAACCAGCCAAGUAGCGUGAAGGAUGACUGCCCUAUGGGUUGUAAACUUCUUUUAUAUGGGAAUAAAAUGUUCCACGUGUGGGAUUUUGUAUGUACCAUAUGAAUAAGGAUCGGCUAACUCCGUGCCAGCAGCCGCGGUAAUACGGAGGAUCCGAGCGUUAUCCGGAUUUAUUGGGUUUAAAGGGAGCGUAGGUGGAUUGUUAAGUCAGUUGUGAAAGUUUGCGGCUCAACCGUAAAAUUGCAGUUGAAACUGGCAGUCUUGAGUACAGUAGAGGUGGGCGGAAUUCGUGGUGUAGCGGUGAAAUGCUUAGAUAUCACGAAGAACUCCGAUUGCGAAGGCAGCUCACUGGACUGCAACUGACACUGAGGCUCGAAAGUGUGGGUAUCAAACAGGAUUAGAUACCCUGGUAGUC
rnacentral:rRNA from 1 species